GGGAAUGUGGCUCAGUGGUAGAGUGCUUGCCUAGUAAGCAUGAAGCCCUGGGUUCGAUUCCUCAGUACCA
rnacentral:tRNA from 1 species